rnacentral:rRNA from 1 species
AUUGAACGCUGGCGGCAGGCCUAACACAUGCAAGUCGAACGGUAACAGAAAGCAGCUUGCUGCUUUGCUGACGAGUGGCGGACGGGUGAGUAAUGUCUGGGAAACUGCCUGAUGGAGGGGGAUAACUACUGGAAACGGUAGCUAAUACCGCAUAACGUCGCAAGACCAAAGAGGGGGACCUUCGGGCCUCUUGCCAUCGGAUGUGCCCAGAUGGGAUUAGCUAGUAGGUGGGGUAAAGGCUCACCUAGGCGACGAUCCCUAGCUGGUCUGAGAGGAUGACCAGCCACACUGGAACUGAGACACGGUCCAGACUCCUACGGGAGGCAGCAGUGGGGAAUAUUGCACAAUGGGCGCAAGCCUGAUGCAGCCAUGCCGCGCGUAUGAAGAAGGCCUUCGGGUUGUAAAGUACCUUCAGCGGGGAGGAAGGGAGUAAAGUUAAUACCUUUGCUCAUUGACGUUACCCGCAGAAGAAGCACCGGCUAACUCCGUG